AAUAUAAUUCAAUCAAUUGUUUAUUAUAUAUUAUUUUCUUUAUUCUUAAUAUAAAUUCAAUAAAAACCGAUUUUAUUAUGUGGAUUAAGCUGCUUUAAUUGGUUUAUGAGGAGUUUCUUCUAGCAUGACGUAAGAUUAUUCAUUUACUUCAAAUAUUUUGACUUUCCUUUUGUCAAUUUACGAAUAAAAAUACAUUUAAAACGUGUAAGUCGUGCGUAGCAUGCCGUGAUUCAAAAAAUGGUUUCUGCACGAGCGUGAGAACGUGCUUGAAGGCUAGUAUGAAAUUAUAUGAACAAAUCAUGUGUAUUUACAGAUUGCCUAGCGUUUCUACUAUGCAACACUUUAUUUUGUUGGAUUUUCUUCGAUUUGGUCGUACAAGCUACUACUAAUUUGUUUAUACUUGGUAGUAUUAGAAUAUGUUUAAACAAUUUUUGUUCAGCUGGAAAUGAUAUGGACAUGUGUUCAAUGUAUUUGGUCUUGGAAUGGUCUAUUUACUUAUUUUUGUUCUUCUGGGUAAAGAUUAUAAAGUUGUGGUCUUCUAGGCAAUUAUAGUUGUCAUGUCCCUUUAUGCAAACCUACCCACAAAUAAUCUAACCUUAUAUGUCAAAAUGGUUCACCUGUUAUAGUCUUUUGGCCAAUUUUGUUUCUCUAUUUUUAAUUUGGCCAAUUUAAUUCUCAAGUUUAUUUCCAUUAGCCAAAUUAUUAUAAAUUUAUUCAUAAAAUUUUUAAAAAAAAUAUUUAAUCUCCUCCCAACUCCACCACCUCCCUAAAGUUCUCUCCUCUCCCAAUUUUCUUCCCCAACACUCUUUUUAAUGUCACAAUCUUAAGAAUUUUUUAGAUUGGAAGUUUUAUCUAUUAUAUGUGUCUCGAGGUGGACCUAGAGACGUGUUUGUCUAGUUGCAAGCAUGUGUGGCUAGGGUUGAGGUUUGGAUCAAGGACAAGGCGGAUGGCAAGAUGGGUUUGUUUAAAUUUUUUAUUUUAUUUUAUUUUAUCUUGGAAUUAUAUUUCUUUCUAUUUAAUUGGAAAAAAAAAAUUCUAUAAUGGUUGUAAUAUUAACAGAGAUUAAAUGAAAUAUCCUUAAUUGACUAACGGAGGCAAACACCAUAAUUAAAUUAUCCAAAUUGAAAACAUGGAGAGUAAAUUAGCCAAAUAACUAACACAUAGACCAUUUUGACAUAUAAGCCAAUAAUCUAAUGAGUUUCCAAGGGUAUUAUAUUUUUAUUUGCGCCUGGAAUCGGGAGUUCACUAACGAUCUACUCAAUCGGCCCAAACAACCUAUUUGUUAUAAAAGGAACAGAGAGUGCAUUAA
rnacentral:lncRNA from 1 species